GGGCGUUCAUAUGAGCCUUACGAUGAUCUAAACAGCAUACAAUUUACGCUGAAGUGUACACGCCUGGUUGACUCCGUAACAAAGUAUUUUACCGUGAACGUUGAUAUCAUUGACGUGAAUGAUAACUAUCCUCAGAUAUUAGGGAGUCCUCGACCCAUAUCAGUAAACGAGUUGACUCCAGUGGGCGUUGUAAUUGGUGAAAUGGUGCAAUUGGUUACAGUCAUGGACAAAGAUACUGGUUUGAAUAGUGAAUAUGAAUUUGCGAUAGGUCAAUCUGAUAGUUCGGGGCAACCUAUUUCUUCUUUUACUUUACAUGAUGCAGCAGAGAAAUUUACAAUCAUAUCGCCGCGAAGUGGAUCUAUUGCGAUAAAGUCUACGUUGGAUUUUGAAAGAGUAAACAAAUAUUUUCUUCCAAUUUCUGUGACAGACCUGGCACCAGUUAUUUCUGAAAGAAGAACAAGUACUGUUACCAUGACUAUUGAUGUGACAGAUGGGGAUGACCUUGGUCCAGUUUUUGACUACAAAGGCUGCUUCCGAGUGGAUAAUGUUUGCUUCAAUCCAACAUAUACGACAGAAAUACCCCCCUAUUCA